AUAGAACGCUGGCGGCAGACCUAACACACGCUAGAGGAGGAGGAAUCGCAGAGUAGCUUGGUAGUCUGAUGUCGAGCGGCGGACGGGUGAGUAAUGCUUGGGAACAUGCCUUGAGGUGGGGGACAACAGUUGGAAACGACUGCUAAUACCGCAUAAUGUCUACGGACCAAAGGGGGCUUCGGCUCUCGCCUUUAGAUUGGCCCAAGUGGGAUUAGCUAGUUGGUGAGGUAAUGGCUCACCAAGGCGACGAUCCCUAGCUGGUUUGAGAGGAUGAUCAGCCACACUGGGACUGAGACACGGCCCAGACUCCUACGGGAGGCAGCAGUGGGGAAUAUUGCACAAUGGGCGCAAGCCUGAUGCAGCCAUGCCGCGUGUGUGAAGAAGGCCUUCGGGUUGUAAAGCACUUUCAGUCAGGAGGAAAGGUUAGUAGUUAAUACCUGCUAGCUGUGACGUUACUGACAGAAGAAGCACCGGCUAACUCCGUGCCAGCAGCCGCGGUAAUACGGAGGGUGCGAGCGUUAAUCGGAAUUACUGGGCGUAAAGCGUACGCAGGCGGUUUGUUAAGCGAGAUGUGAAAGCCCCGGGCUCAACCUGGGAACUGCAUUUCGAACUGGCAAACUAGAGUGUGAUAGAGGGUGGUAGAAUUUCAGGUGUAGCGGUGAAAUGCGUAGAGAUCUGAAGGAAUACCGAUGGCGAAGGCAGCCACCUGGGUCAACACUGACGCUCAGAC
rnacentral:rRNA from 1 species